CUACGUGCCAGCAGCCGCGGUAAUACGUAGGUCCCGAGCGUUGUCCGGAUUUAUUGGGCGUAAAGCGAGCGCAGGCGGUUAGAUAAGUCUGAAGUUAAAGGCUGUGGCUUAACCAUAGUACGCUUUGGAAACUGUUUAACUUGAGUGCAAGAGGGGAGAGUGGAAUUCCAUGUGUAGCGGUGAAAUGCGUAGAUAUAUGGAGGAACACCGGUGGCGAAAGCGGCUCUCUGGCUUGUAACUGACGCUGAGGCUCGAAAGCGUGGGGAGCAAACAGGAUUAGAUACCCAGGUAGUCCACGCCGUAAACGAUGAGUGCUAGGUGUUAGACCCUUUCCGGGGUUUAGUGCCGCAGCUAACGCAUUAAGCACUCCGCCUGGGGAGUACGACCGCAAGGUUGAAACUCAAAGGAAUUGACGGGGGCCCGCACAAGCGGUGGAGCAUGUGGUUUAAUUCGAAGCAACGCGAAGAACCUUACCAGGUCUUGACAUCCCUCUGACCGCUCUAGAGAUAGAGUUUUC
rnacentral:rRNA from 1 species